CCUUACAGAACAAAGAUAGAGAUGAUGGAUAAAUCUGACUGCACACUGUCAUCUGCAGGACCUCUAGGACCUGGAUAUGUGAAGUGAACUUGAAUCGACUUUUAUCUCUCAGAGAGGGUGGCGGGGUAAUUUUGUUGGUUUGUUUCCAUUUUCAAAUUCUAUAUUCAUAUGGUUCUGUACUAUAGUAACCAAAUAAAAUAUAAUUAAAAACA